GCUGAAGUUGGUUUAGCGCAUUUGUGAUGUUCCACUGUCUUAACCUUUAUUACGUGUAUUUGCCUCGGUUAAAAAUGAAUCUCCGAUUUUGGGCGUUCAAUCAAUUUAAUUGAAGUUUACGAUCGUGAGAAAUUGUUUGAAAAAUUUCGCACGUUCCGCAAUAAUGUACUCUCUUCUAAGGUUAUUAUAUUAUUGUGUGCUUCGUGCAUUGAAUUGAGGAAAGAAAUAUUGCAUUUUAUGUAAUAAAUCGGAAAGGAAUUUCAAAGUUUGUAUAUAAUAUGACCUUUGCACAUAUAUUAUCGUCAUCAAAUGAUGAAGAUUUUGCUAAUAUUAUAAAUCAAAGACCAAAUAAUUUUAGAAGAUGACAUUUUCAUUUUUAUGAGUUAGAUGAUGUAGAUUUUCAUGUAGAUUUUCACGCUGGGUUCCGAUUAUUAAAAGAAUACGUUAUAGAAAUCUUGGAAAUUAUCGAACUCGAAAUUUUACAUCCAACAGAAUGGUAAUUUUUCUGAAGUGAACAAAACGAGCUCAUAGAAUUGUUCACUCCGUAACACAAAUACUAUUGUUCAUCUUCGGCCAAGAUAUAUUAAAUUUCCUACUCUUGCGGAUGAAAUAAAAGCCAAGCAAAUACAGUUUUUUGAUAUUGCACGAUUUCUGAGAAUUGUGGGCUGCAUAGAUUGCAUUCAUGUAAAAAUCCAGUCAUUUGCUCGUUGGCCAGGUUCGGUGCAUGACACCAUGAUUUUCAACAAUUCCAGGAUACAUGCUCUAUUUGAGACUGGAACAUUUGGAGAUGCUUUGAUCUUAAGUGAUGGUGGUUAUUCUGUUUGAUCUUAUUUAAUGACCUCUAUGCAACACAAAAAAUCAUGCUCAGGAACUCUAUAACGAAUCGUUUAUUAAAACACGCAAUACUAUAUGAGCACGUGUUUGGAAAAGAAGAUUUCCAAUUUUAGCACUGGGUUCUCGAUUUGCUAAAGUCGAGAGAGUACUACCAAUCAUUGUAGCAACUGCCAUAUUACAAUACAUAACAUUAUUCGGCGUGCUGGAGAUCUAUUACCUGAUGAUCCUGUGUUACAGUUACCUUGGAAAGAAAUUUUGGAUCAGGGAAAUACCACUAAUGAAUAAUGCAUCCGAUAAUCAUAUGUAGAACAUAUUAACAACAAUUAUUUCCGUAGAUAAGAAUAGAAA